UCGAGGGGCAGCAUUUUAGUUUGCUUGCAACUGAAGAUGGCGACCGGCGCACGGGUGAGUAACACGUAUCCAACCUGCCGAUAACUCUGGAAUAGCCUUUCGAAAGAAAGAUUAAUACCGGAUGGCAUACGAAUAUCGCAUGAUAUUUUUAUUAAAGAAUUUCGGUUAUCGAUGGGGAUGCGUUCCAUUAGUUUGUUGGCGGGGUAACGGCCCACCAAGACAACGAUGGAUAGGGGUUCUGAGAGGAAGGUCCCCCACAUUGGAACUGAGACACGGUCCAAACUCCUACGGGAGGCAGCAGUGAGGAAUAUUGGUCAAUGGGCGAGAGCCUGAACCAGCCAAGUAGCGUGAAGGAUGAAGGCUCUAUGGGUCGUAAACUUCUUUUAUAUGGGAAUAAAGUUUUCCACGUGUGGAAUUUUGUAUGUACCAUAUGAAUAAGGAUCGGCUAACUCCGUGCCAGCAGCCGCGGUAAUACGGAGGAUCCGAGCGUUAUCCGGAUUUAUUGGGUUUAAAGGGAGCGUAGGUGGAUUGUUAAGUCAGUUGUGAAAGUUUGCGGCUCAACCGUAAAAUUGCAGUUGAAACUGGCAGUCUUGAGUACAGUAGAGGUGGGCGGAAUUCGUGGUGUAGCGGUGAAAUGCUUAGAUAUCACGAAGAACUCCGAUUGCGAAGGCAGCUCACUAGACUGUUACUGAC
rnacentral:rRNA from 1 species